UACAGAGGGUGCUAGCGUUGUUCGGAAUCAUUGGGCGUAAAGGGCGUGUAGGCGGUUUGUUAAGUCAUGUGUGAAAUCCCUCGGCUCAACCGGGGAACGACGCAUGAAACUGGCAAGCUAGAGUACCAAAGAGGGGGGUGGAAUUCCCGGUGUAGCGGUGAAAUGCGUAGAUAUCGGGAAGAACACCAGUGGCGAAAGCGGGUCUCUGGGACGGUACUGACGCUGAGACGCGAAAGCGUGGGGAGCGAACAGG
rnacentral:rRNA from 1 species